ensembl:snRNA U6 U6 spliceosomal RNA
GUGCUUGCUUCUGUAGCACCUACACUAAAAUUGAAAUGUUACACAGAAGGCUGGCAUGGCCGCCACGCAAGAAUGACAUGAAAAGGUAAGCAGCUUUCUGUACUUUU